rnacentral:rRNA from 1 species
CUCGUAGGCGGCCAACUAAGUCAUACGUGAAAUCCCUCGGCUUAACCGGGGAACUGCGUCUGAUACUGGUUGGCUUGAGUUUGGGAGAGGGAUGCGGAAUUCCAGGUGUAGCGGUGAAAUGCGUAGAUAUCUGGAGGAACACCGGUGGCGAAGGCGGCAUCCUGGACCAACACUGACGCUGAGGAGCGAAAGCCAGGGGAGCAAACGGGAUUAGAUACCCCGGUAGUCCUGGCCCUAAACGAUGAAUGCUUGGUGUGACGGGUAUCGAUCCCUGUCGUGCCGAAGCUAACGCAUUAAGCAUUCCGCCUGGGGAGUACGGUCGCAAGGCUGAA